AUGAAUAUGGGAAUCUUUGCAAGCAUGGUGAUCAUGGAGCUCAAGGCCAAAGGAUCCACCUCUAUCAAGGCACUACUUGUAGAGGACAUUGAAGUUUGUAGGUUGGUCCUCUCAACAAUUCUGCUCAGACUUCACUGUGAGGUUACUCUAGCCAUGAAUGGGAAGGAGGUUGUUGAUUUGUUCCUUGAGGGGAAGAAGUUUGACAUUGUUUUGUUCGAUAAGAAUAUGCCCAUCAUGACUGGUCCAGAGGCAAUUGUCAAGAUUCGUGCUAUGGGGGAAACUGAUGUGAAGAUGGUUGGGGUUUCUUCCGAUGAUCAUGCCAUGGAGGCGUUCAUGAGUGCUGGUGCUGAUUUAUUUGUGCCAAAACCAAUGAGGAUGGAGGCUCUCGGCCCUAUCAUUCAAGAGGUCAUCAACAAGAAGAAGAAUGACAUGGCCUAG
rnacentral:rRNA from 1 species